rnacentral:misc_RNA from 1 species
UUGCGACACCGGUUGCAAUGCCACGUUAUUAGAGAUGCAGCAACAAAUGAGGUUGAAACUGAGGAUCCUAUACUCGUUCUAAAUGAGGUUACUAUUGACCGUGGAAUAUCGUCUUUCCUCACAAAUUUGGAAUGCUAUUGUGACAACUCAUUUGUCACAUGUGUGCAAGGUGAUGGUUUAAUUUUAUCAACAACAUCUGGUAGCACUGCAUAUUCAUUGGCAGCUGGAGGAUCAAUGGUCCAUCCACAGGUUCCUGGCAUCCUUUUUACACCAAUUUGUCCACAUUCCUUAUCCUUUCGGCCUCUGAUAUUACCUGAACAUGUAACCAUACGAGUGCAAGUUCCUUUCAACAGCAGAAGCUCUGCUUGGGUAUCAUUUGAUGGCAAGGACAGGAAAAAGUUAACACCGGGUGAUGCACUUGUAUGCAGCAUGGCGCCUUGGCCUGUGCCUACAGCAUGCCAAGUUGAUUCUACCAAUGACUUCUUGCACAGCAUCCAUGAGGGCCUACACUGGAAUCUGAGGAAGACCCAAUCUUUUGAUGGCCCUCUUGACCAAUAAUGUUAAGCUUAUCUUAUCUCUGAUGAAAGCAAGCAAAUCUAGCUGUUGUUUGAGAUUUACCUUUUUAAGCAUCCUAGAAGGAGGGGAAAUAUAUGUAGUUCCAAUUUCCAAAAGCAAACUUACCAAUUAUUAUCUGCAGAUUGUCAUGAAAAUCAGAGGAUAUGGAAAAGGAAGUGUAUGUUGUAAGACCAAAUUGCCUCUGAAAUGUGUAGAACUUGGCGUGGCUGUUAAACGAAUAGAUACAAGAGAAGGUACUUGUUGACUGUUUAGGUUAUACGUGGUGCCUCUUGCUAGCA